rnacentral:rRNA from 1 species
AAUAGGUGCCCGUACCGCAAACCGACACAGGUAGGUGAGGAGAGAAUCCUAAGGCCAUCGGAAGAAUUGCUGUUAAGGAACUCGGCAAAUUGACCCCGUAACUUCGGGAGAAGGGGUGCCUACGAAAGUAGGCCGCAGAGAAUAGGCCCAAGCAACUGUUUAGCAAAAACACAGGUCUCUGCUAAAGCGAAAGCUGAUGUAUAGGGGCUGACGCCUGCCCGGUGCUGGAAGGUUAAGGGGAACACUUAGCGUAAGCGAAGGUGUGAACUUAAGCCCCAGUAAACGGCGGCCGUAACUAUAACGGUCCUAAGGUAGCGAAAUUCCUUGUCGGGUAAGUUCCGACCCGCACGAAUGGCGUAAUGAUUUGGGCACUGUCUCAACAGCAAAUCCGGCGAAAUUGUAGUGCAAGUGAAGAUGCUUGCUACCCGCGAUUGGACGGAAAGACCCCGUAGAGCUUUACUGUAGCUUAGCAUUGAAUCUCGGUAUUGUCUGUACAGGAUAGGUGGGAGACUUGGAA